GGCAUGCGGGGAGCUCCGAGGCCACGACGUGUGGGUCCCAUCCGACCUGUACCGCACCUGCGUCCUCCCUUUGAAGGUCCCGGAUCCUCUGUUCCGUCCUCUUGAUCUGCAUGCCUGUUUUUGUCCCUGAGCGCUGUCUCUAAGUCUCCCCCACCUCUCAGUGGUGUUGCGGGGGGGCCUCCUAUUGCGUGGCCCUUGGGAGACAUUCAAGAUCUGACACUGGCACAGCCAUGGGAAACUAGGACCGCUGCUCGCCUGAAGUUUUAUGGUAGACACUGCUCGGCGUGAGGAGACCGAGCAGCAGGACCCCAGUCUCGAGCAGUUGCACCCCUGACUGGCUCCUCACAGGGCCAGGCAAAGCCUCCCUCCCCAGGACCGGAUGUUGAGCAGGUGGGAGCUGAGAAAACAGCAGGCCAAAGGAACAAACCAUUUCCUCAGGCUGUUGAGGACACUCUCUGAGACAGAUGGAACCAUUAAUUCUGCCAA